UGCCUCCCAAGUGCUGGAAUUAAAGGUGUU
rnacentral:piRNA from 1 species